rnacentral:rRNA from 1 species
UACGUAGGGUGCGAGCGUUGUCCGGAUUUAUUGGGCGUAAAGAGCGUGUAGGCGGUUUUACAGGUCCGCUGUGAAAACUCGAGGCUCAACCUCGAGAUGUCGGCGGAAACCAUCUGGCUAGAGUCCGGAAGAGGAGAGUGGAAUUCCUGGUGUAGCGGUGAAAUGCGCAGAUAUCAGGAAGAACACCCGUGGCGAAGGCGGCUCUCUGGGACGGUACUGACGCUGAGACGCGAAAGCGUGGGGAGCGAACAGG